ACCCGCUGAACUUAAGCAUAUCAAUAAGCGGAGGAAAAGAAACUAACAAGGAUUCCCCUAGUAACGGCGAGCGAAGCGGGAAGAGCUCAAAUUUGAAAGCUGGCACCUCCGGUGUCCGCGUUGUAAUCUCGAGACGUGUUUUCCGUGCGGCUCUAUGGACAAGUCCCUUGGAAUAGGGCAUCGUAGAGGGUGAGAAUCCCGUACUUGCCAUGGAAGAACCGUGCUUUGCGAUACACGCUCUAAGAGUCGAGUUGUUUGGGAUUGCAGCUCAAAAUGGGUGGUAGACUCCAUCUAAAGCUAAAUAUCGGGGAGAGACCGAUAGCGAACAAGUACCGUGAGGGAAAGAUGAAAAGCACUUUGGAAAGAGAGUUAAAAGUACGUGAAAUUGUCGAAAGGGAAGCACUUGAAGUCAGCCAUGCUGCUUGAGACUCAGCCUGGCCUUUGGGCUUGGUGUAUUUCUCGGUGGCAAGCCAGCAUUGGUUUGGGUCGUCGGAGAAGCGCAUAGGGAAUGUAGCGUCUCCGGACGUGUUAUAGCCUUAUGCAGGAUACGACGACCUGGAUCAAGGAACGCAGUGUGCCCUCUGGGCGGGUCUUCGGACACCUUCACACUUAGGAUGCUGGCGUAAUGGCUUUAAGUGGCCCGUCUUGAAACACGG
rnacentral:rRNA from 1 species